rnacentral:rRNA from 1 species
GACGUAGGGCGCGAGCGUUGUCCGGAUUUAUUGGGCGUAAAGAGCUCGUAGGCGGCUUGUCGCGUCGACUGUGAAAACCCGCGGCUCAACCGCGGGCCUGCAGCCGAUACGGGCAGGCUGGAGUUCGGCAGGGGAGACUGGAAUUCCUGGUGUAGCGGUGAAAUGCGCAGAUAUCCGGAAGAACACCGGUGGCGAAGGCGGCCUGCUGGGGUCGGAGCUGGACGCUGAGGCGCGACAGCGUGGGGGAGCAAACAGG